rnacentral:misc_RNA from 1 species
UCCUGGUUAACCCAGGCAGUCUCGUUAGAGUUCCCGCCUUGACGCGCUGGCAACUAACGAUAAGGGUUGCGCUCGUUGCUGGACUUAACCAAACACCUCACGGCACGAGCUGACGACAGCCAUGCAGCACCUAUAUAAAGACUCUUUCGAGAAGUGUCAUCUCUGACACUGUCCUUUACAUUUCGAGCCCAGGUAAGGUUCUUCGCGUUGCAUCGAAUUAAACCACAUGCUCCACUGCUUGUGCGGGCCCCCGUCAAUUCUUUUGAGUUUCACCCUUGCGAGCGUACUCCCCAGGCGGCAUACUUAAUGCGUUAGCUCCGGUACAGAAAGGGUUGAGCCCUCCUACACCUAGUAUGCAUCGUUUAAGGCAAGGACUAC